ACCUACAAAGAGGGUGUCUCACCGAAAGGUAGCUAAAACCUCUCCAGAACGGCGCACGGAACUGUGGAGACACAGCGGAAGGCUCCUCUGGAGCCUCAUAUCUGGGCCGAACCCUAGACCCAGCGCUUCAAGGAGCCCCUCGCUUGGAUCACAGACUGUGAAAUUCUUGACGGGCAGAAUGAUGGGCAACUCCAAAGCUGAGACUCCAGCUCAGUGACUGACAUAAAGUAUGAACAAUCCAGAAAUAGCCUUUGCUGAGAGUUCUUUCACUUCCUGGCACGGAUUCAAGUUUUCUCCCCAACUUGCCUCAGCCUUGACAACAUCACGUUUUAGUACUAAAUGACGAGCUGCUGUUUGGGAUGCUGUUAAUACAUUAACUUAACUUUUGAAUGACAUGAAUUUUUCAAAAAAAAUUAACAUUAUGAGUAAAAGUGCUAUUUUUUUUUCCAAGAUAGGGUUUCUCUGUAUAGUCUCGGCUGUCCUGGAACUCACUGUGUAGACCAGGUUGGCCUCAAACUCAGAAAUCUGCCUGUCUCUGCCUCCCAAGUGCUGAGAUUAAAGGCAUGUGCUACCACUGCCAGGCUAAAAGUACUACUUAUGAUAAUGUGUGACUGUAGGUUUUCAAUUCCUUUGGAUAAAUGCCAGGGACAUGUUUGUUGGAUAGUUUAAUAAAUGUAGUUAGCUUUCUGUGAAACCUACAAGCUAUCUUCCAAGGGGAUUAUCUUAAUCCCCACCAGUAAAGAAUGGCAGUCUCAGGUCCUACAUUCAAUAAAUACCAAUUU